rnacentral:rRNA from 1 species
AGGGUUUGAUUCUGGCUCAGGAUGAACGCUGGCGGCGUGCCUAACACAUGCAAGUCGAGCGAAGCGCUUUAGUGGAAUUCUUCGGAAGGAAAGUGAAGUGACUGAGCGGCGGACGGGUGAGUAACGCGUGGGUAACCUGCCUCAUACAGGGGGAUAACAGUUAGAAAUGACUGCUAAUACCGCAUAAGACCCCAGUACCGCAUGGUACAGAGGUAAAAACUGAGGUGGUAUGAGAUGGACCCGCGUCUGAUUAGCUAGUUGGUGAGGUAGAGGCUCACCAAGGCGACGAUCAGUAGCCGACCUGAGAGGGUGACCGGCCACAUUGGGACUGAGACACGGCCCAA